rnacentral:lncRNA from 1 species
CGCGAGAAUUUCGGAAGUUGCCGGAGGUUUGGAAUACCGGCGAUGAGAGAACUUCCGGUCGUCGGCGUAGGCACAGCUUUAAUGAAGACAAGCAGGGCUGUUGUUAUUUUGGUGAGCAAAGAUUUUAAAUAUCAAUUUUCUUUUUCAUGAUACUCAUGAGUAGCUGUAUGCAUUAUAAUUCUUUGUGUAAUUCUUGUGUAAUCUUGAAACCCAUUUUGAGUGGACUUGAUUAUGUAAUAAGGUAAAAGAUUAAUUUUUCUUUAUCAAUAUGAGUAAGAUGUCUUACGAAUUAGUAUAUGUUCUAAUAAAUCUCGGCUAUUAUGUGUUUGAAUGAAUUAAAUCCCGGGAUGAGCAAGAGUGAACAAAUGACUUGGGACGACAGGGGAUAAGCCUUGCGAUGUUACAAGUCAUUCAUUGUGAUAAACAAAACCGAGGACAUUAAGAUUCCCCGUUAGGUUUUCAUUUUACUUAGUACUUUUGUGCCUGUAACAUUUGAUUUAACGAGCGUAUUGUAUAGCUGUUUAGUCAGGGUGCCGAGAAACUGCAUGCUCUUAUAUGUAUACAGCCAUACAGGGUGCCGAGAAAGUGCAUGUUCUUAUAUGUAUAUGUUAUUCGUACAGAGGUUACUUAAAUCAUUUGCCAACCUAUAUAAACAUAGUCCGGUUUAUGCUCUUUAAGGACCUGAACUGAUGUCAUAACCAUUGCGCAAGAAUACUGGCUAUAUAUAUUUUACCUAUAGGUACUAUGCAUAACUGACUGAAUUGUAUCUCUGUAGAAAGUAGUGUUAUGAUUUUGGGUUUUGGGAUGCGUCGGGAUGAUUUAGGGUUUAGGUGUGUUUCAGGAUUUGAGAUGUGUUGCUUUUAAGGCUUUUGGUGUUAUCAAUAAUGAUAUAAGAGUUGAUGUUCUUAUACGAGAAAAUAUCAUAGCCAAAGGACUAAUAAGUAUUUUUGAAUCCACCAGAAAAUGAAGGGAAAACUCUGAAAGGUUUUAUUUUAAUAAAAGAUUGUCUUAUAAGAUUUCAAGAUAUGAGUAUUUAUAGACUAGGGAAAUAGUCUAAACUCAAGAGGAAUCUGAAAGAAAUUCAGGACCAACUAGAAUAGAAAAUUAGCUAAUAUCUAAACCCAUCUAGGAACCUAUCGAAACCCCAAUCUGAUAAUUAAAACCUUUUACCGCUUAUAAUGUUGAUAAUUCUUAGCUCAUGCAUCACAUUUGGUUCCUAAAUAGUUAUGGUCUGUACUACUCUAUAGUUGCAUCUUUAUUUUAUCUUUUGUAAAUACUUGCCUCUUUUUACUUGUGCCCUACAUGUGUUACAUUGUUAGCUUUACUUGAUUGUUGCUGUGUAUCAUGUGUGCCUCCGUGCUGGUCGGGCUUUAUUUAAACUUAUGCUUUCAUUUAUUUGGUUUUUCGAGUUUUAAGUUUGCUUUGAAAACAAUGAUUGUGUUUUGUUCCAUACUUCAAGUAUGUUUCUAUAAGCAUAACGGGUGCUUCCUAAUCUGAAAAUUCACUAAUGGUGUUCUGUAUUGUGUUAGAACUAUAAUUUGUAACGAGCUGAUGUUUGAGAG